GACGAACGCUGGCGGCGUGCCUAACACAUGCAAGUCGAACGGAGCAGAUCCCUUCGGGGGUUUGCUCAGUGGCGAACGGGUGAGUAACGCGUGAGGAACCUGCCUUUCAGUGGGGGCGAACAGUUGGAACGACUGCUAAUACCGCAUAAUGCUUUGUAGCGGCAUCGCUUGAAAGACCAAAGAUUUAUCGCUGAAAGAUGGUCUCGCGUCUGAUUAGCUAGUUGGUGAGGUAACGGCUCACCAAGGCGACGAUCAGUAGCCGGUCUGAGAGGAUGAACGGCCACAUUGGGACUGAGAUACGGCCCAG
rnacentral:rRNA from 1 species